GGGGACGUUACGGAUUCGACAGGGGUGGUUCAAGCUCUGGUCGCGCGUCGGAGGUCUCGUCUUCGUCAUCAACGGAAGUUAUAUAAUAACUGGCAAACAACAAAACUUAGCUUUCGCAGCGUAAGCUCGUAAGCGCUCUGUCUAUCCAUCGCCCAUGUGGAUAAUCGCAGGGCCUAACUUAAGUGGGAUACGGUCGGUGGUGCCACUUGAGUCACCGACAAGAGAUUUCCAAGUUAGCGUACAAGACGCCUGUUUACCGGCAUAAUGUUACGCGAAUUGCAAAUAGGUAGACUACACGCGUAGAAGCCGGCGUAUUGGAGCUUCUGGACGCGGGUUCGAAUCCCGCCGUCUCCAUUU
rnacentral:tmRNA from 2 species